GGGUCCGAUAGCUCAGGAUGGCAGAGCGCUCCGCUUUGGUGGAGAGAUCGCAGGUUCGAAUCCUGCCGGGUCCUC
rnacentral:tRNA from 2 species